GAUCUUGUUGUGCUCGACCUUGUCUCUACCAUCAGCUCUCUGCAACGACCACCAUGUUCAACUCCACCAACAUAACCAGUACCACUACCAAGUCAAUGAAGGGUACCCCGUACUGGAUGGAUCCAAAAGACAUUCUCCAAACUAGGCAUAGCUUUUCUUCCGAUAUUUGGAGUUUUGGAUGUACUAUGAUUGAGAUGGGUACUGGAACCUUGGAGUCAACAGUUCUAAGAGCACAUGCUUAAGAUGGAGCAGGAAGAGUACAGCUAGGAAAAAAUUAACUGGAGCAUUGAGUUCAUUGACAAAUUGGUUUAGUACAUCCUUCCUGUCCAUUGUGCCAAGUGCAGAAAAAGAAUGAGGUUUGCUAUUCAUGAAUCCAUGAUGUAAUACCUUGUUCAGAAUGGAAUUUCCUUGUGUAAAUUCAAACUAAGUUCAUAAUUUUGUAAAAUGUUGCAAGGAUGAAUGAUGUUGUAAGGAUGAGUGAUUUUCUUAUCAGGUCAGGGUUUCAGAUUAUUUGUAAUACUGGAAUUUCGUAAUAUGUAAUUUUUUUUAA